UAGAAGACGGGUGUGCGUCUGAUUAGGUAGUUGGCGGGGUAACGGCCCACCAAGCCGACGAUCAGUAACUGGUGUGAGAGCACGACCAGUCACACGGGCACUGAGACACGGGCCCGACUCCUACGGGAGGCAGCAGUAAGGAAUAUUGGUCAAUGGACGAAAGUCUGAACCAGCCAUGCCGCGUGAAGGAUGAAGGUCCUCUGGAUUGUAAACUUCUUUUAUAUGGGACGAAAAAAGGGUUUUCUAACUCUACUGACGGUACCAUAUGAAUAAGCACCGGCUAACUCCGUGCCAGCCGCCGCCGUAAAAC
rnacentral:rRNA from 1 species